rnacentral:rRNA from 1 species
CCUACGGGGGGCAGCAGUGGGGAAUAUUGCACAAUGGGGGAAACCCUGAUGCAGCGACGCCGCGUGAGUGAAGAAGUAAUUCGUUACGUAAAGCUCUAUCAGCAGGGAAGAAACACUGACCUUACGGUCAGCAGACGGUACCUGAGUAAGAAGCCCCGGCUAACUACGUGCCAGCAGCCGCGGUAAUACGUAGGGGGCAAGCGUUAUCCGGAUUUACUGGGUGUAAAGGGAGCGUAGAGGUUGCGCCAAGUCUGGAGUGAAAUGCCGCAGCUUAACUGCGGAACUGCUUUGGAAACUGGCGAACUAGAGUGCGGGAGGGGUAAGCGGAAUUCCUAGUGUAGCGGUGAAAUGCGUAGAUAUUAGGAGGAACACCGGUGGCGAAGGCGGCUUACUGGACCGUAACUGACGUUGAGGCUCGAAAGCGUGGGGAGCAAACAGGAUUAGAUACCCGGGUAGUC